AUGUGGAAUUCCCAGAGACUGAAAUGGGAUGUGGAAGGACUCAGUGCUGAUCAUAGACACACUGUGGUAUUCGGCCCAGGAACAAAGCUGAUCGUCACUGACUCUGCUGUUCCUCCUCCUGUUCUGAGCAUCUUCCCUCCGUCCAGUGAAGAGCUGAAGUCUAAUAAAGCCACUCUAGUGUGUGUGGUCAGUGACAUGUCCACUGGUUAUGCUGAUGUUCGUUGGCUGCUGGACAGAAAGGCGGUCAGCAGUGGAGUGAGCACUGGCUCUGCAGAGCAGCAGCCCAAUAAGAAGUUCAGACUGAGCAGCUAUUUGAGCAUUGAGAGAUCAGAGUGGGAGAAAGAUAAAGACAUAACAUGUGAAGUGUCUGCUGCCUCAAAAACUACAAGUAAAAGCAUGAAGAAGUCUGAAUGCAUGGACUGAACCUGAUCACAUCUGUUCAUCUUCAUUCUUUUCUUCUUCUUCAGACGUACACUUCUUACUUGGCAGUGCUGAAUAGAAACAGUAGUUUAGUGUGUAGUGAAAGAAUGCUGAUUCCAGCAACAAACACUGGAUCAUCUCCUGCUUACGUACUCCUUCAUCUUUUCUCUUCUACAAUAAAGUUGUUUGAUGGAUUUGAAUAAAAUGCAGAAGUGAAAAAC